UAGAGUUUAAUACAAAGAAUCAGAGAUGAACGAUAGAGCAGCGAUGCCUUACACUUGCAGGUCGAACGAUUCCCAGAAUAGCUUGCUGUUCGGGAAGUGUAGCGAACGGGUGAGUAACACGUGAGUAAUCACCCCUCGAGUGAGGAAUAAUUCCGCGAAAGCGGGACUAAUACCGCAUAAUACUCUGGGGCAUAAGCCUUUAGAGUCAAAGCUUUCCGAGCAAUCGGAUGGCGCUAUGAAGACGAACUCGCGGCCUAUUAGCUAGUUGGUGGGGUAUUGGCCUACCAAGGUUAUGAUGGGUAACCGGCUUGAGAAGGGUGUGCGACCACACUGGGACUGAGAUACGGCCCAAACUCCUACGGGAGGCAGCA
rnacentral:rRNA from 1 species